rnacentral:rRNA from 1 species
AUUGAACGCUGGCGGCAGGCUUAACACAUGCAAGUCGAGCGAGCGGCGGACGGGUGAGUAAUGUCUGGGAAACUGCCUGAUGGAGGGGGAUAACUACUGGAAACGGUAGCUAAUACCGCAUACCAUCGGAUGUGCCCAGAUGGGAUUAGCUAGUAGGUGGGGUAAAGGCGAACCUAGGCGACGAUCCCUAGCUGGUCUGAGAGGGUGACAAGACACAUGGGAACUGACACACGGCCCAGACGCCUCCGGGAGGAAGCAGAGGGGAAUAUUGGACAAUGGGGGCAAGCCUAAUGCAGCCAUGCGGCGUGUAUGAAGAAGGCCUUCGGGUUGUAAAGUACGUUCAGCGGGGAGGCGUUACCCGCAGAAGAAGCACCGGCUAACUCCGUGCCAGCAGCCGCGGUAAUUC